UCCCUGGUGGUCUGGUGGUUAAGAUUUUGCACUUUGAAUGCAAGCAGUGUGGAUUCAACCCGGUCAGGGAA
rnacentral:tRNA from 1 species